UGUCAGCAGGUGUCACAGUGACAGUACAGGAGAAAACUACCACAACAUCAACAACAAUAUCAACGACACCAGUAGCAGUAGCAUCGUCAACAACUGACACACUUACAGGAGGCGAGGUUCUACAUAGCACAGGCGUGUUGACUGGUGCAGUUGUGGCAGCCGUGGUGAUAACAUUUGGAGUCGCGGUUGCUUUAUUUGUCCUGUAUCAUAGGAGCAUGGUGCAUAGAUUUCGGAAUGAUAGACAAUUUGGCGACACUGUUGAAGUGGAUGUUAUGGAAAGCAACAAUGAAUACGUCGUGCUAGAAGAAAACCAUAUAUAACCGGAUCACACUUACGCAGCACUUCAAGGAAGGAUGACGUCAUUCAAUACUCCACCAAGAAAAAUAACUAGGAGAAGUGCGCAGGAGGGUAAACGAAUGCGACAUCCACAUCAUCACUACUGGACCAAAGUACGUCAAUUCCUCGGCCGGACAACGAACGCACAGAAUUAGAAAGAAAACUAAUGUGUCAGAUUUCAAAACGCUGCUGUUAACACCUGAUAUAAAAACGGGUCCCAAUCUGUCCAAACCACCAAGCUAACAAUUCAACGAAAAGAUAGACAACUAUCAAACGCCAGUAUUUUGACAGUGAUUUUCUCGAAAACUGGAACUUUUUAUAUAAGC